rnacentral:rRNA from 1 species
GAUGAACGCUGGCGGCGUGCCUAAUACAUGCAAGUCGAACGAAACUUCUUUAUCACCGAGUGCUUGCACUCACCGAUAAAGAGUUGAGUGGCGAACGGGUGAGUAACACGUGGGCAACCUGCCCAAAAGAGGGGGAUAACACUUGGAAACAGGUGCUAAUACCGCAUAACCAUAGUUACCGCAUGGUAACUAUGUAAAAGGUGGCUAUACUACCGCCUUUGGAUUGGCCCGCGGCGCAUUAGGUAGUUGGUAGGGUAAAGGCUUACGAAGGCAAUGAUGCGUAGCCGAAUUGAGAGGUUGAUCGGCCACAUUGGGACUGAGACACGGCCCAAACUCCUACGGGAGGCAGCAGUAGGGAAUCUUCCACAAUGGGCGAAAGCCUGAUGGAGCAACGCCGCGUGGGUGAAGAAGGUCUUCGGAUCGUAAAACCCUGUUGUUAGAGAAGAAAGUGCGUGAGAGUAACUGUUCACGUUUCGACGGUAUCUAACCAGAGAGCCACGGCUAACUACGUG